rnacentral:piRNA from 1 species
UAUAAGUCUAUAGCCAGUGGCAUCCAGC